CCUACGGGAGGCAGCAGUGGGGAAUAUUGCACAAUGGGGGAAACCCUGAUGCAGCGACGCCGCGUGAGUGAAGAAGUAUUUCGGUAUGUAAAGCUCUAUCAGCAGGAACGAGACAAGACGGUACCUGACUAAGAAGCCCCGGCUAACUACGUGCCAGCAGCCGCGGUAAUACGUAGGGGGCAAGCGUUAUCCGGAAUCACUGGGUGUAAGGGGAGCGUAGACGGCGGAGCAAGCCUGAAGUGAAAGGCGGGGGCCCAACCCCUGGACUGCUUUGGGAACUGUCCGGCUGGAGUGCAGGAGAGGGAAGUAGAAGUCCUGGUGUAGCGGUGAAAUGCGUAGAGAUUAGGAGGAACACCAGUGGCGAAGGCGGCUUACUGGACUGUAACUGACGUUGAGGCGCGAAAGCGUGGGGAGCAAACAGGAUUAGAUACCCCUGUAGUC
rnacentral:rRNA from 1 species